GACAGGCCUUGAAUUUUGUUUAAGACACUUUGCAGUGUAGAUUUAUAGUGCAAAUACCACCUUUGUUUCAAAUUGCUCUUAGAAAUGUCUAGCCUUUUUCUUGUUUUCUCAGGAUUGUAACUGCAUUAAAAAUUUCCUGUUCUAGGAAUACACUCAUUUUUUUAUCUUCCUCAUGUUAAGGGACCACCUGGACAUAAAACCCACCUGCACUGCACCACAAACACAGAAGCCAAAGGGAAAGGAGACACAAUACAAACAUAUCUCUUUCAUAAGAUUUAUGUUUACAUAAAUAACAACAUAAAAUGACUAUAGGAAAAAAACAGAAAAACUUACCCACAGACAUCUAGGAACUCUAGUUUGGGACACGGUAAGUGUAAUAAGGGAACUAAAGCUCUUACCAUUUCUGGAUUUAAACUUUUCCGUUUUUUCAUAGUGUUUGUCUUUUGAUUAAGAGAUGGAAAGUGGGUGUGACUUGUAUUUAAGCACAACUAUUCUGCAAUAUUUAAGAGCAAGUUUCUUCUAUAAUACCUCAACUGUUCAUGUGACUCCAUUUAGAAAGAUGUUACCUAAAUAUAUUAUUCCCUGUUGCAACAUAGCUUAGACACAACCACCUGCCAUUAAGCAAUAACAGGCAGCUUGAGGAGUUAAAAGAGUAACAAAGGGAACUGAAAUGAAUCAGAUUUAAAUUUUUUUUUUUGGUGGGGACCAAACUAUGCUAAAAAUAUUUCUUUUAAUGUUGGUACAUAGUCAAAGGUAAAACCAAGACAGUGGUCAAAUAAAUAUCUUUUAAUAAAGAAAAAAGGAAUAAUUUUAAAGCACCAAAACUGUGAGUAUGAUGUUACAUUGCAUGUACAAUAAGGUGAAUGCAGUACUUUGCGUACAGGUUUAUAUUUCUGAAUCAUGAUAAUAAAAAAACAUGAGAUACACAGAAAUAAACUUGCGUUGCUGAAAAGCUGCACUAAAAAAAAAAAGACCAAAAAGCAGACAGUUUUUAGGUUUUAGGUAUUGCUAGAAAUGUCUGUUUAGUUUUUAACCUUUUUUUUAAAACAUACUUGUGCUUAACACUUUAUAACUUUGAGCAUUUUCAGGCAUAGUAAAUUUGCAGAAUUGUUUACAAUAAAAUAUGAUUUUAAUAUGUCCUUUUGAAUAUAAUGGAGUUAAAGAACUUUCUUAAAGCCAAGCACAAUGUGCUAGUAGUGUCUGAGUCUAAUAAUAAUAUUGCACAAAGCUAGUGAAUGGAAAAUUUAUUUUCUUUAGAUUAUUUCUUAUUUAUUCAACAGGCUUAACAAAGAAGUUAGUUUCACUAAGCUUCACUGGCUUCAUUCAUGCAAGACAACUUGCAGCCAUUUGUAAUUCUUAAGCUUUCCUUUUAUGAUGAUACAUUUUUUAUACAUUAAGAUGAAAUUCAAAAUAUAUGGCAACUGCAACACCAUGCUGGGAGAUGUUAAGUGAAUAUCCCCAAUGUCCAACACCUAUUUCCCAAUUCAGAAAUCAAAAAUAAGUUUGUAAUCUGAAAAUCAAGCCAGUCUACAGCAAACUUAUUACGGGAUAGGCAACAGACUGGACUAAAAAUCUCUGCAGAGUUUGGACUUUAUGCACCAAAACAGUGAUCAUCUUUUUUUGCUUGUUUCCAAUGGACACACUUCUGGUUAACAGCCUGUGAUAACAGCUUUAAAUAAUGCUCUACGUUAAUAUUAGAAACUCAGCAGAGUAAAAUUCAUUGCUUGGUCAUUUCCCAUGAUAGAGGUACAGAGCAUUCACAUUUGAGAAUGGAAAAGAUGACCACUUCUGUCAAAUUCUGAAGCUCUGGGCCACAGAACAUAGAAGACCUGAAUCACAACAAAAAUAUAUAGAUGUCAGGUUGCAGAUUCACCACAGUCAGAGCUGUGAGUUUUGGGCUAACAGUCAAACUGAACAGGAAGUACAAAGACCUAUAUAUGCAACAUCCCUCCUACAAAUAUACUGGCAUGCCCUCCCUCCCUUGACCCUCCUAAAAAUUCUAAUUUUAAGUAUUUAAGUAUUUAUUGUAUUAGGCGUCAAUUAAAUAUAAAUUUAUUUUGUAGGAAAAUUUAAAUUACAGUAUAUGUGUAGGUUAAAAAUAGCCAUUGCUGUUGAUAGCAUUAAUAGCAAUAUGUCAAUGUGCUUAUUACACCAAAUUUGCAAUUUGCAGUCAAGUUUAAGAUGAUCUACUGUCUGUCAGCUCCCAGAGCAGUGAAAUCAUGCAACAAACUCUCCCAGUAAGGUGCUUCUGUUACUCCUUUUCUUUGCAAGAAGCUUUGCUUGUUCUUAACAUUAAUUCUGUAGUGAGAAACAUAACAACGUAUUGUCCAUGCUUAUGGAAUUGUUACCAGAAAUAUAUGCAGGUAAUUUAUUACAUAAGCAUUACAAUGAAAAUAAAAUCUGAUUACACGCAUAAGCGAACUUGAUUUACAAAUUACACUCUUGAAAUUCAGUGCAACAAAUGGAACAAGGGUAACAUUAACCAAUAAUGUUUCUGCUUCCUCAGUAAGUUGCAUCUUCAAUAAUGCAUCUGUCAUUACUUUAAUAUUAAACAGUACAGAAUAUAGUGCUCAUACUCAAAAUGAUUCUUUACAAAUAAUAUAGUGAAGUAUGUUAAGUUCUAUCCCCAAUGCAGUCACAAAAGAACACAAUAUAUAAUCAUACUAAUUUAUUUUACAAGUGUCUCGUGUAGGAUGCAGACUGUCAGAUUUAAAACAAACAAACAAAACUCAAAAGUGAUGCUUGAAAAAUAAAAAAGCCUUCAUCUACCCUAGACAGAUAACUAGCAUAUGAAAAUAAGUAAAGUGAGUAAGACUAUUGGUCAACUGUAAAGGAUCUGGAACCUCUGUGAAUGAGAGCAUGAAAUUUUUGUUGAUGAAAAUUCCAUUUCUGAACAAAAGACUACUGCUGUUUACAUUUUGGUUAUUUUAGUAGAAACUGAGUAUUUAGUUUCUU